rnacentral:lncRNA from 1 species
CAGAGCUGUGACUGUUGUAAAACUCCUGCCACCCACAGCUCAGCAAAAUCUCAGGCGCCAUUGUAGAGCAGCCAUUGAAUCAACACAGAGAGGCGGCAGCGUGCCUCUGACUCACCAGGAACCCAGCUCCUCACUGUUCCGCCUGCAAACAGACCUCAAAGCUCCUUGUUCCUUGCUUUGUGCUGCUGAACGCAAGUGGGACCCAGGGAAGGCCACAGAUGCUCUCUGGAAGUACAAUAGCUAUUUUCCUGGUCUGCAUCUGAGGUAGACACGGAAGGAUCAGAGGGACUCAGGGCAUUGCCCUCAGGGGAGUUCUUGGUGCUCAAUGCCUGCAUACCUCACUUAUGCCAUGAAGGUAUUCCUUAAAGGAAAUGAUAAAAAUAUCACUUUGAUGAGGAAUCGAAAAUUAACCAACUCGAUAAGUGGAAUACCCAGGAUUCCCCAAACGGACUGGCUUCAAGAAGGAAAAGAUGGGUGUUGGAAAAUUUAAUGGACUGAAGAAAUGGCAGCAUUUGUUUUUGAAUGAGAAUAAAAUAAGUACAGUCACAAGUAUUGCACAAAUGUUUCAUUUGUGAGCUUCUCUCCGUCCAGAUAAAGGUAACUUUUUGGGAAAUUCAUUUGUAAAGGAAUAAUUUCAUCUACUUUCCUACAUUGAGAUCAGUUUCCAGAAAUGAAGAUACCAUAAAAUUUAUUCUCUAAAACUAUGCCAUUGAAAACCAAAUUCUAAAAAUGUUCUCAGACUUCAAACUUUAUGAAAAUGAAAUAACAUUAUUUAGCUUACCUUUCUUAUUUUUUGAUAGCACCUAUGUUGGGCUAUGAUUAGACAUUAUCAAACUGUAAUGCAAAAACGGUACUGAAGUCUAUUUGAAGUCUAAGUAGAGCAAUGCUGAAAGCCAGGAUUGUACACACAUUUUGGAAGAGGUGAUUCUAGAUAUAAGAACCAUUUACAGUAGUAAUUCCAUCCAUGUUAGGAAGAGCCUAUGUUUAGGCUCGACUCCAAAAUUAAUCUGAAAAAAACCAACCACCCUCCUGGCAUAAGUGUUUAAGGCUGCAUUCUGUACAUCACAGUGAAAAAUACAGGGCCUGAAACAUGUUUUGGUACAGAAAAAAAGAUGUGAGGUUUCUGAUUCCAAGUCAAAGCAGUAAUGAAUUAUGAAAUAAAAAUAUAGCAAUAAUUGUUUUCCUUUUUCAAUGUUUUUAAAAUUUAAUAUAAAAUAGCAUAUGAAUAUUAUAUAUAUUUACAUUAUUACAUACCUAUUCCAUAAUUUAAUAAGAAUAAAGUGUUUGCUUCCAUUUCUUGGAGUUUGUCAUUCUUAUAUUCAGCUUAUUUUGUUCAUGAUGACUACCUCCCUGGCCCUUCGACACUUGCUACUCAUUUGUUUUCUACCUACUUGUUUAUAGAGUUUAUAUCUUUUACUAGAGAGUAAGCUGUCUGAGGGCUACACUUUUAUUUCAUUCGUCUUUGCAUCUCCACAGCCCUAGAAUAGAAGUGGGUUCUUAGUACAUGGUCAGUAAGUGUUGGUUAAAUUGAAUUACAUUGCCUUGUUGACUGUUAUUAAUCUUUAAAAUUUUGGGAUAAUUUCCUACCAAACAAACAUCUUUAUUAUGACUUAUAGAAAAAUGAAUAUUUCCUACCAAACAAACAUCUUUAUUAUGACUUAUAGAAAAAUGAAUAAUGCUUAUCAAUAAUCUUUAGUUCUUCUAGUCUCUAGAUGAUUGAAAUGUUUCUCCCUAUCCCUGGGUACCCACCCAGCUAUGCCCCUUUGUGGAAAAAGGCCAAGGGAAAGUCUUUCUCCUUGGCUGAAAUGCCUCCAGCAAGCAGAUGGGUAAGUGGCCCAGUGUAGGUGGGGUCCACUUUCUACUCCUGAGGAGGAGUUGCCUCUCACAGACAGGACACAUCCCCUCCUGCUGGAGAGGAACGGGGCAACAGCCUUCUAGACAGAAGAACUCUGUUUCUAUGAUUUUAUUUUCCACUGUGCUCCACUCCAGAAGAACUAAGGUGACUUGUUAGUUAAUAUGAUUCUCAAAAACCCUCUGUGACAGUUUUCUUAACCAUUUUUCUCCCUCUAAUGAGAACAUGCUUUCCUGAGACCUAGAAUGGCAUACAAUUAUUUCACUGUGUAAUCUCAAAUUAGUGGGAUGUUAUUUACAAGAUGAUUUUACUAAACUGACAAUUGUUAUUUCUAAC